rnacentral:rRNA from 1 species
UACAGAGGUCCCAAGCGUUGUUCGGAUUCACUGGGCGUAAAGGGUGCGUAGGCGGUCGGGUAAGUCUGAUGUGAAAUCUCACAGCUUAACUGUGAAACUGCAUGGAUACUAUCCGGCUAGAGGAAUGGAGGGGAGACUGGAAUACUUGGUGUAGCAGUGAAAUGCGUAGAUAUCAAGUGGAACACCAGUGGCGAAGGCGAGUCUCUGGACAUUUCCUGACGCUGAGGCACGAAAGCCAGGGGAGCAAACGGG